GGGUAUUUAGCUCAGUGGUAGAGCACUUGCCUAGCAAGCACAAGGCCCUGGGUUCGGUCCCCAGCUCCA
rnacentral:tRNA from 1 species